rnacentral:tRNA from 1 species
GCCCCUGUGGUGAAAUUGGUAGACGCGCCCGACUCAAAAUCGGGUUCCGAAAGGAGUGCUGGUUCGAGCCCGGCCAGGGGCACCA